rnacentral:rRNA from 1 species
UAGGGAAUCUUCCACAAUGGGCGCAAGCCUGAUGGAGCAACACCGCGUGAGUGAAGAAGGGUUUCGGCUCGUAAAACUCUGUUGUUAAAGAAGAACAUAUCUGAGAGUAACUGUUCAGGUAUUGACGGUAUUUAACCAGAAAGCCACGGCUAACUACGUGACAG